rnacentral:ncRNA from 2 species
UAUAAUCUUCAGGGCGGGGUGAAAUUCCCCACCGGCGGUAUAGCCCGCGAGCUGCGUGUUCAGCAUGAUUCAGUGAAAUUCUGAAGCCGACAGUAAAGUCUGGAUGGGAGAAGAUAGAA